UAGAAGUGUGUGCCGAAGGGCUGGUUAAAACGAAGUGUGAGAGGGUUAAGCUGAAUUACUGUGGGGAAGUGGCAGGUAGGUGGUGCAGUAAUGGGGAAGGGAAAACCCCGGGCUAAACCGGGGAAAUGCUUUGAAAACUGCUGAGCUAUAGUACGGUAGAGGGUGGUGGAAUUUCCUGUGUAGCGGUGAAAUGCGUAGAUAUAGGAAGGAACACCAGUGGCGAAGGCGACCACCUGGACUGAUACUGACACUGAGGUGCGAAAGCGUGGGGAGCAAACAGGAUUAGAUACCCCAGUAGUC
rnacentral:rRNA from 1 species